GGGCCCGCACAAGCGGUGGAGCAUGUGGUUUAAUUCGAUGAUACGCGAGGAACCUUACCAGGGCUUAAAUGUAGUGGGACAGGUCUAGAGAUAGACCCUUCUUCGGACUCAUUACAGGUGCUGCAUGGUUGUCGUCAGCUCGUGCCGUGAGGUGUCAGGUUAAGUCCUAUAACGAGCGCAACCCCUGUCGUUAGUUGCCAGCAUUUAAGAUGGGUACUCUAGCGAGACUGCCGGUGCAAACCGUGAGGAAGGUGGGGAUGACGUCAAAUCAUCACGGCCCUUACGUCCUGGCUACACACGUGCUACAAUGGCCGGUACAGAGAGCAGCCACUACGCGAGUAGGCGCG
rnacentral:rRNA from 1 species